AUCAUACUCCCUCCGUCCGGAAAUACUUGUCAAAGGAAUGAAUGUAUCUAGACGUAUUUUAAUUCUAGAUAAAUCCAUUUUUAUGCAUUUCUCCGACAAGUAUUUCCGGACGGAGGGAGUACUUG
rnacentral:pre_miRNA from 1 species